rnacentral:lncRNA from 1 species
GUGUGAAGAAGCCCCAGAUGGUGACUGGUGGCUGAGACUGACCCCUCCAGGCCAGGCCCUGGACAGUCUAGGCCUAUGGCCACUUCCCAAACCCUCUCUGUCCUUGGAUCCCAGCUGAGGAGAGCAAAAGCCUCUUACUCAAAGGAGUUUGGAAGGAGAGGAUCAGGGAAGGCUCAGAUUCCCCCAGACUAGCCCUGUGCAACAACCAGUCCAGUCCAACUUGGGAACAGGAAAGGACUCUGAUGAGAGUUUGGGAGGGGGGACAGAAUAUGAGCUGGGGGGACAUAAACAGCAGGGUUGGCAUUAGAACCCAGAGAUUCUAGCUCACAGUCCCUCACACUGGUACUAUCCAAGAUGACACCCAUUGGCCACUUGAGGCUAGGUAAAUGAAGGCCUGCAUCUGAGUGCUAGGCCAAGCAAGGAGACCCAGGCAGGAAUCCUGGCCCAGAGGCUCCACUUUGCCAAAUCCUUACCCCAUAGGAUACUCUGCCUCUGCCUUGCACUACAGAGAGACAAGAGAGGCAACUGGGAAGCAGGAGAGGCCUUUUUCACAUGCCGUGGGGUCCCAUGGCAUAAGCUCUUCGAAAAUAGCUGAUGACCUUGACCUUGAUCCCUAGAUCUAUAGUUUACCUCCCUACACCUUCCUUUCCUAUCUUUCUUUUUAAAAUCUAGCCUCUCUGGUCAUGUUGCUUCUCUGGCCUGCCUUCUGAUCCUGGCCACAUUUCUUGGAACCGUCAUUCCUUCCUUUCCUUUCUGAUUCGCAGGGGCAACUUUGAGCUAAAGACCUACUAUAUCUGACCAGCCUAGUGUGUUUCUUCUAGGUAUGUUACCCAACCUUGCAGUUUCAGAGCUGGCAGGGCUUAUGAGCUCACUCAGUCCCAACUCCUACUACCCAUUUGGGGAUUCUGAGGCUCAGGGUUACUUGGGUUGUUGUUAGUCCAGGGUCACACAUCAGGAUCAGCAACAGAGCCAGCAUGAGGCUUCUGACUUCCAAGUCCAUAUUUUUCUCCUGUCCUUUGUUCUGCCUAUGGUGAUUCAGCCUCAGUCUGUCUAUUCCUCAAACCAGCAGAGCUUACGUGAGCUUCACUCUGUUCAAACAUCUGCUGUCAAAGCCUUGGGUGAAACUGCUUCAUGGGUUGGCUCUGAUACUUUGGACCAGACUGGGGCCAGUUAUGAGGCCCAUUGGCCAAAGACUGGGGGCUGGAAGGAAGGCUCCAGGAGAGAAAGCAAAUCAGAUUUGUGUCUUAUGGCUGCUGGGGGGCUAUUGUUGCUCAACAUCUUUUCUCCACUCCCACUCCUCUCCCCAACAGCUCCUGGCUAGGGUGAUGUCCAGAGAAAACAGAGCUGCUAAACCCCUGCUUACACAGAGAGAAAGGCAGACACGGCAUAUACACAGGCCCAUACACACAGAGAGAUAUAGAGACACGCGGUAGGAGCACGUGCAUAACUGCACAGGGCUCUCUGGCAUGAAGAUUUGCACUGCCACACUAUGGGAUCAUUUCCACAGGAGGCUCUUUCCUCUGAGUGAAAACACAGGUCUCUUCUCAUGACUUCCCAGUGUCCAGUCUAGAUCCUGCCCCAAAUAAGAGCUCAGUGAGGUUAUGUGGAAAGAGUGACCCUGGUGUGGUUAGUCCCAGAGACAGACCUUCACCUCCAGGGGCUGGAACAAGGCAGGAAGCCCAGGCCAGGUUGGAAGAGCCUGUGACAUGAGGCAGGAGGCAGGAGACUCCUGUUGUGGUCGUCAUCUUCUGCUUCCACUUGGGGCUCUAUCCUUGUGGCUGGCAGUUCUUCUAAAAAUAUGGUUCAAGAACCAGCAGCUGGGCUAGGGUUCUAGCUCAGUGUUAGCAUGGGUAGCAGUGCCUAGCAUGGGUGAGGCAUUGGGUUUGUUCCUCAGGACCACAUAGAAACAAGCAAAUAAAUAAAGGUUAAAAAAAAAACAAAACCCAGCAGCUUCCAUAUCACCUUGGAGCUUGAUAGAAAUGCAAAGUCUCAGGC